GUGAAAAUUCUAACUAGUCCUUUGGGGUUGGGGUUGUGGAACCCGGAGCUGGAAGAUCCGAAGUCUUCUGUGUUCCUUUCCCACAGAGGGAAGCCGGCGAUGAUGGAAAAACUCACCUGGAAAAUGAGGUCAUAGAGUUCUUUCAUAAAGCUCUCAUGAGGACCAAAUAAGAAGCCUGCGGGAGGGGUCAUUUUUGAGCUUCCCGAACUUUGGCUUACCCUCAGCUUGAGCCAGCGCACAUCUCCUCCUUAACAGCCUCUCUUGAGAAUAGGCUGGCUUCAAGGAAUGGGGGAAGUGAAUGAUCUCAAACUACAGAAAUGGCAGUGAACUUGUCUGUUUCAAUUCGGGAGUGGGCUGCUUCCUGAUUGGCUGUGAUUGGGCUUUCACUGUG